UACGUAGGGUGCGAGCGUUAAUCGGAAUUACUGGGCGUAAAGGGUGCGCAGGCGGUCUCGUAAGCUGGGUGUGAAAGCCCCCGGGCUUAACCUGGGAAUGGCAUUCAGGACUGCGAGGCUUUGAGUGUGGCAGAGGGAGGUGGAAUUCCACGUGUAGCAGUGAAAUGCGUAGAGAUGUGGAGGAACACCGAUGGCGAAGGCAGCCUCCUGGGCCAGCACUGACGCUCAUGCACGAAAGCGUGGGGAGCAAACAGG
rnacentral:rRNA from 1 species